rnacentral:rRNA from 1 species
UACGUGAGGGUGCGAGCGUUGUCCGGAAUUACUGGGCGUAAAGAGCUCGUAGGUGGUUUGUCGCGUUGUCCGUGAAAACUCACAACUCAAUUGUGGGCGUGCGGGCGAUACGAGCAGACUGGAGUACUGCAGGGGAGACUGGAAUUCCUGGUGUAGCGGUGGAAUGCGCAGAUAUCAGGAGGAACACCGGUGGCGAAGGCGGGUCUCUGGGCAGUAACUGACGCUGGAGGAGCGAAAGCGUGGGAGCGAACAGG